rnacentral:rRNA from 1 species
GACGUAGGGGGCCAGCGUUGUUCGGAAUUACUGGGUGUAAAGGGUUCGUAGGCGGUGUGGCAAGUCGGGUGUGAAAUCUCUGGGCUCAACCCAGAGUCUGCUUCCGAAACUGCUGUGCUUGAGUGUGGGAGAGGCGCGUGGAAUUGCAGGUGUAGCGGUGGAAUGCGUAGAUAUCUGCAGGAACACCCGUGGCGAAAGCGGCGCGCUGGACCACUACUGACGCUGAGGCGCGAAAGCGUGGGGAGCGAACAGG